ACUUGAAGCCUUUGUAACAAGGAACAAUGUAAUAAGCCUCUUUGAUCGAAACGAAAUAAAAAUCACGUUGUCAAGGAGACGUCAAACGUGACUGCGAACUUGGUGGUGUCACGCGUUUCACGCCCGUUUCUUAUAUUUUUUCCUUUGAUUUUGCAUUUUUUCGAGUGCUUCAUUGAACGAUGAAUGAACCUGUUUGCCACAAUUUGUUAAAGUCAGCAUUUGAUGAAAACCUUGAUGAACAACGAGAGAAAGAUAAAGAGGCGAAAGAAGCACAUGAUGAUCUUCCUGCCACGAAGAAAUGUGCUGGUUACUGCUCCGCAUAUUGUACGAACAAGGAUUGCCUCCGAGCGGAGAUCCAGAAACCACCUUUGAAGACUUCAGAUAUUUACGCCACUUGCGACCUGCCUAAGAGAUUUGAACAUCCACAUUGGUUUAACGGGUACGGAUGUCAAACUAAUUAUCAACAUCCGUUCUAUAGAACUUCAUCCAGCGAAUACGGAUGGUAUCCACCAGGUAUACACACGGUGCCGUCUGUGUUUUUUCCUGCGGGCCAGAAGUUCACCAACCACUUGGCCGCCGCUGGGAUGUAUCGCAAUUACAGCCUCAACACCGGCAUGGAUCAAUCCUGAUUGAAAAAUAUUGUAGAAGAGCGCGUUUGGAAAAAUGCUGCAUUUAUUUUGGUUUUCCGAUAAAAUUAUCAGUUAUAACUAUAAAUUAAUGAAGUUGUGUUAGACUUUUGAUUUAAAGGUACCUGCGCAACUUCAUCAAUUACAUUGUAAAUCUGUAGUCUUCAUCACUUGCUUCAUGAUAAGUUAUAGUGUUAUUUGUUGGUUUUUUAAAUUUUUGUAUCUAUUUGGUUACUGCAAUUAAGAGUUUAUGUGUUUUAUUAGGUUGCCAAGUCAUCUGGCGUUAACGACCGUUUGAUGGUAAUUUGUUAUUUCUUUUGAAUAAAGACGAGCUU